rnacentral:rRNA from 1 species
GACGAACGCUGGCGGCGUGCUUAACACAUGCAAGUCGAACGGAAAGGCCCUGCUUUUGUGGGGUGCUCGAGUGGCGAACGGGUGAGUAACACGUGAGUAACCUGCCCUUGACUUUGGGAUAACUUCAGGAAACUGGGGCUAAUACCGGAUAGGAGCUCCUGCUGCAUGGUGGGGGUUGGAAAGUUUCGGCGGUUGGGGAUGGACUCGCGGCUUAUCAGCUUGUUGGUGGGGUAGUGGCUUACCAAGGCUUUGACGGGUAGCCGGCCUGAGAGGGUGACCGGCAACAUUGGGACUGGGAAACGGCCAAGCCUCCUACGGGAGGAAGCGGGGGGGAAUAGUGCACAAGGGGCGGAAGCCUGAUGCAGCAACGCCGCGGGCGGGAUGACGGCCUUCGGGUUGUAAACCGCUUUCGCCUGGGACGAAGCGUGAGUGACGGAAAUGGGUAAAGAAGCACCGGCUAACUACG